GCCCUGCUGUGCCUUUAGUCCCAGCUACUCAGGAGGCUGAGGCUGGAGGAUUGCUUGAGCCCAGGAGUUCUGGGUUACAGUGUGCUGUGCUGAUCGGAUGUCUGCACUAAGUGCAGCAUCAAUAUGGUGACCUCCUGGGAACAGGAGACUCCCAGGUUGCCCAAGGAAACAGAGCAGGUCAAAACUCCCUUGUCGAUCAGUAGUGGGAUCACACCUUGGAACAGCCACUGCACUCCAGCCUGGGCAACAUAGUGAGACCCUGCCCCUC
rfam:Nomascus leucogenys chromosome 19, whole genome shotgun sequence.